AGCUGUGAGAAGAAGCUGAAGAGACUAUGUUAUGUCGAGAAAACUUAGUUAACUUGAAGGACAGUUAUGCUAUUUACCGUUUGCAACCGGGCGUUUGUGUGAGUGUUUGUUUAUUUUGUUAAAAGUGUAAUCGAGCGUGCUUUAGAAGUGCGGCUUUUUGCUAAGGGGCUGACAACGAGGACGGGACUGUUUUGCUAGCGGUUAGCAUAACUGCGUGUGCGGGAGAGGCCAGGACAAGGACGGACUUUGCCACGUGCUGCUGCCGAGGAGUUGGUGUUGGACCGAGCAUCGAGACGGGUUCCUGAUCGUGUUGCUGCCUCUUGGAAGAGGUUGCUUUUCAAGGAGUUUACCGUGUCCUUUUGUCCUGAUUCGGGUAGCAAUUGUGAUCAACCAUCCAUCCCAAACCCAAGACCAAGGAGGUUGUUAUCGAUUUCCGGAGAGUCCCCACUCUUAAACCCCCACUGCACGUCGAUGGUGCUGCUCCCGAGAGACUCCGAAUGAAAAGCUGAGGAAACCAGGGUGACCCCUGUGACAAGCCUUCCAACCUCUAACGGGAAGAGGAGGAGGAGGAGGAACACUGCACGCAGUGAUGCCACCAGUGACAUCAUGGGAGCCUUCCUCGACCUCCAAGGGCAGCAGCAUGCAGAGCACAUGGAGGCGGAGGAGCUGCGGCACAGGCGCGAGAUGGUGAUGUUCGGUGCGAUGGAAGAGCGCCGACAGCAGGAGAACAGGAACAUGUUCCAACAACUGUAUGCUGCCAUCAGGCCCUCACACCCCCAUCUAACCACGAUGCACGCCUCCAGUCACAAUGACACUUUGCCAUGUAGACCGUCACCCAUCUAUCACAACCUUUAAAGCCCUUCACCAUCCUGCACAUUUAGCCCUCAAGACCUUAAAGACUGCCUUUCUAUUUUAUUGUUUGCAUUUUAUUUAGUGUUGUAUUUUCUAUUUUAUUGUUUGCAUUUUAUUUAGUGUUGUAUUUUCUCUUUAAUUUCAUUACCACACCAGCACAACUUAAGGUGUAGGUUUGUGAAGGAUUUAUUCUUUACCUUGUACAUUUUUAAGAGUGCCUUUUUAUUUUGAGUUUGUAUUGUUUGCUUAUUCUUAUUCAAUAGUUUUGUAUUUAACACUUUAUUUUGAUAGUCCACUCAACAAGCUAUCAAAAUAAAGUGAUACCUUUUGUAUGUAUAUGUAAAUAACGUUUUUUGCAAUUUCAUCUAUGGUCAGUAAUUUGUAAAACUGCCCUAUUUUUUUUAUGACCUAGGUGAUAAGGUAAAGGGUACAGCAUCCACCUUUUUCCCUAGAUUUUUCACUUUUAGGUACUAAAAUAUAUAUAAACCUCAUG